AUUGAACGCUGGCGGCAUGCCUUACACAUGCAAGUCGAACGGUAACAGGUCUUCGGAUGCUGACGAGUGGCGAACGGGUGAGUAAUACAUCGGAACGUGCCUAGUAGUGGGGGAUAACUACUCGAAAGAGUGGCUAAUACCGCAUGAGAUCUACGGAUGAAAGCAGGGGAUCGCAAGGCCUUGUGCUACUAGAGCGGCCGAUGGCAGAUUAGGCAGUUGGUGGGAUAAAAGCUUACCAAGCCGACGAUCUGUAGCUGGUCUGAGAGGACGAUCAGCCACACUGGGACUGAGACACGGCCCAGACUCCUACGGGAGGCAGCAGUGGGGAAUUUUGGACAAUGGGCGAAAGCCUGAUCCAGCAAUGCCGCGUGCAGGAUGAAGGCCUUCGGGUUGUAAACUGCUUUUGUACGGAACGAAAAGCCCCGGGUUAAUACCCUGGGGUCAUGACGGUACCGUAAGAAUAGGCACCGGCUAACUACGUGCCAGCCGCCGCCGAGA
rnacentral:rRNA from 1 species